AUAGGGUUAGUUGCAGAUAAGCCCCUGAGAUUUUGUCUAUUUUACGUAUGCAUGCUUCAGAAUUUACAUAUAAGUCCCGGCCCAACCCAUCUAUAUAUAGUUUUUGCUUUGCUUCGUUUGUAUAAUAGCUCACCUUUGGGAGUCCAUCGCAACUAAAGCACAAUUCCAAGGUUCACCCAAAAUGAGUGAGUUUGAGAAGGAAUCUUACAAGGCUAAGUUGGACUACCAACAAAAUCCCACCUUUAUUGCACACAUCUCUCAGCUACUGACUUGGACUUCUGCUUGUGUGAAGGAAAUUUUCGUGGAAAUGUCGGUCCGAUUCUUAACAGGUGCCCAUCAUAAGCAUUAAACGAGGCAUACUACAUCAUACUGCCAGCAGAUUCAGCGUCCAUCGCAUGCUCAAUGUCACAAUGAUCAGCACUCACAGUUGCUUCAGAUAUGCUAUAUGAUCCAUCAAGAUGAAGUCCACCUUCUUUACCAGUUGUUGCCCAGUACUUACAUGCAGCUUUAUCAGAUUACCUAUAGGGCUUAAUAUCAGAUAUUGACCCUGCCACAGCAAAACUUGCUAUCACAGUCACAGGCCCUUUGCUCUCGGCAUUUUGGGUUCUUAUUCAUUCUAAGGAUUGUCAUGUCUUGGUACCCCAAGCUCCUGGUGAAGCAAUUUCCUUAUGUUGUCGCUUAUGCUCCUACAGAACCAUUUCUCAGCAUAACAAGGAAGGUGAUGCCUCCUCUUGCUGGAGUGGAUGUCACACCUGUUGUUUGGUUUGGACUGUCAAAGAAACAAGAUGAUGCUGAGGCCAUGGCAGCACAAGGUUUUGUGCCAAAUAUCAGAAAGAUCGGAUUUAUUUUCUGAUUAGAGAAUAAGCUUGUUGCUUGGUGGAUGCAACUACUUUCAAAUGCUGCUUCUUUUGGUGCAAACCAGUGGUCCCAUGGAAACAUACAUACUGUAUACCAAAUGUCAUUUUUCUCUCUGCUGCAUCUGUUACCUCUUUGCUUCUUGGUCAUGUGAUGCUGUCAAAAAUGUGCUGUCCUGAGAUGUUUGUAAUACUGAAUCAACUUUUGUUUCAGCAAAGAAUGUCUCCUGAUAAUGAUGUCUCAAGGAAACUGCACAUGCAUCUGAAAUUGAAACAAACUGUGACUGCAGUUCAUUCUGAUGGUGUUAAGCAGCUCAUCAUCAACAUCUUCU